UACGUAGGUGGCAAGCGUUGUCCGGAAUUACUGGGCGUAAAGCGUGCGUAGACGGCUAUCUAAGUCGGGUGUGAAAGCCCCGGGCUCAACCUGGGAAUUGCAUUCGAGACUGAAUAGCUAGGGUACGGUAGAGGGAAGUGGAAUUUCCGGUGUAGCGGUGAAAUGCGAAGAUAUCGGAAGGAACAUCAGUGGCGAAAGCGACUUCCUGGACCAGUACCGACGUUCAGGCACGAAAGCGUGGGGAGCAAACAGG
rnacentral:rRNA from 1 species